CCUACGGGAGACAGCAGUGAGGAAUAUUGGUCAAUGGACGAGAGUCUGAACCAGCCAAGUAGCGUGAAGGAUGACUGCCCUAUGGGUUGUAAACUUCUUUUAUAUGGGAAUAAAACGUUCCACGUGUGGGAUUUUGUAUGUACCAUAUGAAUAAGGAUCGGCUAACUCCGUGCCAGCAGCCGCGGUAAUACGGAGGAUCCGAGCGUUAUCCGGAUUUAUUGGGGUUAAAGGGAGCGUAGGUGGAUUGUUAAGUCAGUUGUGAAAGUUUGCGGCUCAACCGUAAAAUUGCAGUUGAAACUGGCAGUCUUGAGUACAGUAGAGGUGGGCGGAAUUCGUGGUGUAGCGGUGAAAUGCUUAGAUAUCACGAAGAACUCCGAUUGCGAAGGCAGUUCACUGGACUGCAACUGACACUGAGGCUCGAAAGUGUGGGUAUCAAACAGGAUUAGAUACCCGAGUAGUC
rnacentral:rRNA from 1 species